rnacentral:snRNA from 1 species
GUGCCCAUUUUGGCAGCAUACAUACUAAAAUUGGAAAGAUACAGAGAAGAUUAGCAUGCCCCUGUGCAAGGAUGACAAGCAAAAGUUAGAAAUUAUUUU